UGCUGGAGGUAUCAGAAGUGCGAAUGCUGACAUAAGUAACGAUAAAGCGGGUGAAAAGCCCGCUCGCCGGAAGACCAAGGGUUCCUGUCCAACGUUAAUCGGGGCAGGGUGAGUCGACCCCUAAGGCGAGGCCGAAAGGCGUAGUCGAUGGGAAACGGGUUAAUAUUCCCGUACUUGGUGUUACUGCGAAGGGGGGACGGAGAAGGCUAUGUUGGCCGGGCGACGGUUGUCCCGGUUUAAGCGUGUAGGCUGGUUUUCCAGGCAAAUCCGGAAAAUCAAGGCUGAGGCGUGAYGACGAGGCACUACGGUGCUGAAGCAACAAAUGCCCUGCUUCCAGGAAAAGCCUCUAAGCAUCAGGUAACAUCAAAUCGUACCCCAAACCGACACAGGUGGUCAGGUAGAGAAUACCAAGGCGCUUGAGAGAACUCGGGUGAAGGAACUAGGCAAAAUGGUGCCGUAACUUCGGGAGAAGGCACGCUGACACGUAGGUGAAGUGAUUUACUCAUGGAGCUGAAGUCAGUCGAAGAUACCAGCUGGCUGCAACUGUUUAUUAAAAACACAGCACUGUGCAAACACGAAAGUGGACGUAUACGGUGUGACGCCUGCCCGGUGCCGGAAGGUUAAUUGAUGGGGUCAGCGCAAGCGAAGCUCCUGAUCGAAGCCCCGGUAAACGGCGGCCGUAACUAUAACGGUCCUAAGGUAGCGAAAUUCCUUGUCGGGUAAGUUCCGACCUGCACGAAUGGCGUAAUGAUGGCCAGGCUGUCUCCACCCGAGACUCAGUGAAAUUGAACUCGCUGUGAAGAUGCAGUGUACCCGCGGCAAGACGGAAAGACCCCGUGAACCUUUACUAUAGCUUGACACUGAACAUUGAGCCUUGAUGUGUAGGAUAGGUGGGAGGCUUUGAAGUGUGGACGCCAGUCUGCAUGGAGCCGACCUUGAAAUACCACCCUUUAAUGUUUGAUGUUCUAACGUGGACCCGUKAYCCGGGUUGCGGACAGUGUCUGGUGGGUAGUUUGACUGGGGCGGUCUCCUCCUAAAGAGUAACGGAGGAGCACGAAGGUUGGCUAAUCCUGGUCGGACAUCAGGAGGUUAGUGCAAUGGCAUAAGCCAGCUUGACUGCGAGCGUGACGGCGCGAGCAGGUGCGAAAGCAGGUCAUAGUGAUCCGGUGGUUCUGAAUGGAAGGGCCAUCGCUCAACGGAUAAAAGGUACUCCGGGGAUAACAGGCUGAUACCGCCCAAGAGUUCAUAUCGACGGCGGUGUUUGGCACCUCGAUGUCGGCUCAUCACAUCCUGGGGCUGAAGUAGGUCCCAAGGGUAUGGCUGUUCGCCAUUUAAAGUGGUACGCGAGCUGGGUUUAGAACGUCGUGAGACAGUUCGGUCCCUAUCUGCCGUGGGCGCUGGAGAACUGAGGGGGGCUGCUCCUAGUACGAGAGGACCGGAGUGGACGCAUCACUGGUGUUCGGGUUGUCAUGCCAAUGGCACUGCCCGGUAGCUAAAUGCGGAAGAGAUAAGUGCUGAAAGCAUCUAAGCACGAAACUUGCCCCGAGAUGAGUUCUCCCUGAGACUU
rnacentral:rRNA from 1 species